rnacentral:rRNA from 1 species
GACGAACGCUGGCGGCGUGCUUAACACAUGCAAGUCGAACGGAAAGGCCCCUUUGGGGGUUCUCGAUUGGCGAACGGGUGAGUAACACGUGAGUAACCUGCCCUUGACUUCGGGAUAACUUCAUGAAACUGGGGCUAAUACCGGAUAGGAAUCCUUGCUUCAUGGUGGGGGGUGUAAAGCUUCUGCGGUUUUGGAUGGACUCGCGUCUUAUCAGCUUGUUGGUGGGGUAGUGGCUUACCAAGGCGUUGACGGGUAGCCUGCCUGAGAGGGCGACCGGACACAUUGGGACUGAGAUUCGGCCCAGACUCCUACGGGGGGCAGCAGUGGGGAAUAUUGCACAAUGGGCGGCAGCCUGAUGCAGCAACGCCGCGUGGGGGAUGACGGCCUUCGGGUUGUAAACCGCUUUCAGCAGGGGCGAAGCUUGUGGUGACGGUACCUGCAGAAGAAGCACCGGCUAAGUACGUG